UACAGAGGUCUCAAGCGUUGUUCGGAUUCAUUGGGCGUAAAGGGUGCGUAGGCGGCGCGGUAAGUCGGGUGUGAAAUCUCGGAGCUUAACUCCGAAACUGCAUUCGAUACUGCCGUGCUUGAGGACUGGAGAGGAGACUGGAAUUUACGGUGUAGCGGUGAAAUGCGUAGAUAUGGGGGAGGAACACCGGGUGGCGAAGGCGGCCACCUGGGACGGUAACUGGACGCUGAAGACGCGAAAGCGUGGGGAGCAAACAGG
rnacentral:rRNA from 1 species